UCGAACGAUGAAGCCCUUCGGGGUGGAUUAGUGGCGAACGGGUGAGUAACACGUGGGCAAUCUGCCCUUCACUCUGGGACAAGCCCUGGAAACGGGGUCUAAUACCGGAUACCACUCCUGCCCGCAUGGGUAGGGGUUGAAAGCUCCGGCGGUGAAGGAUGAGCCCGCGGCCUAUCAGCUUGUUGGUGGGGUAAUGGCCCACCAAGGCGACGACGGGUAGCCGGCCUGAGAGGGCGACCGGCCACACUGGGACUGAGACACGGCCCAGACUCCUACGGGAGGCAGCAGUGGGGAAUAUUGCACAAUGGGCGAAAGCCUGAUGCAGCGACGCCGCGUGAGGGAUGACGGCCUUCGGGUUGUAAACCUCUUUCAGCAGGGAAGAAGCGAAAGUGACGGUACCUGCAGAAGAAGCGCCGGCUAACUACGUGCCAGCAGCCGCGGUAAUACGUAGGGCGCAAGCGUUGUCCGGAAUUAUUGGGCGUAAAGAGCUCGUAGGCGGCUUGUCACGUCGGAUGUGAAAGCCCGAGGCUUAACCUCGGGUCUGCAUUCGAUACGGGCUAGCUAGAGUGUGGUAGGGGAGAUCGGAAUUCCUGGUGUAG
rnacentral:rRNA from 1 species